rnacentral:rRNA from 1 species
GACGAACGCUGGCGGCGUGCUUAACACAUGCAAGUCGAACGGAGAGGCCCUGCUUUUGUGGGGUGCUCGAGUGGCGAACGGGUGAGUAACACGUGAGUAACCUGCCCUUGACUUUGGGAUAACUUCAGGAAACUGGGGCGAAUACCGGAUAGGAGCUCCUGCUGCAUGGUGGGGGUUGGAAAGUUUCGGCGGUUGGGGAUGGACUCGCGGCUUAUCAGCUUGUUGGUGGGGUAGUGGCUUACCAAGGCUUUGACGGGUAGCCGGCCUGAGAGGGUGACCGGCCACAUUGGGACUGAGAUACGGCCCAGACUCCUACGGGAGGCAGCAGUGGGGAAAAUUGCACAAUGGGCGGAGGCCUGAUGCAGCAACGCCGCGUGCGGGAUGACGGCGUUCGGGUUGUAAACCGCUUUCGCCUGUGACGAAGCGUGAGUGACGGUAAUGGGUAAAGAAGCACCGGCUAACUACGUG